UUUCCGUAGGUGAACCUGCGGAAGGAUCAUUACCGAGCGAUGGCCCUCUGGGUCCAACCUCCAACCCGUGUCCCUUGUACCUCGUUGCUUCGGCGGGCCCGCCUCACGGCCGCCCUGGGGCAUCUCGCCCCCGGGCCCGCGCCCGCCCAAGACACCCACGAACUCUUUCUGAAGAAUUCCGGUCGAGUGAAAUUAUAAAUUAUUUAAAACUUUCAACAACGGAUCUCUUGGUUCCG
rnacentral:misc_RNA from 1 species